rnacentral:lncRNA from 1 species
CUGGAGUUGAAAUAAGCCUUUGUUUUAUGCCUUAUGCUAGAAAUAAAAGUCCUAACAUCUUUAAAAACUCAACAUACUAUUUUCCUUUCCAUUCUUCUGAGCUAAAGAAAUAAAAUGAGUUGUAUGGGGCAGUCAUAAGCUGGUUCUGAUUUUAGGGCUAACAAUAUCUAAGCAGAUGUCUGGAGUUAGACAUCUCUUAAUUUUCUUUGAGCCUCAGUUUUC